GACGAACGCUGGCGGCGUGCUUAACACAUGCAAGUCGAACGGAAAGGCCCUGCUUGCAGGGUAUUCGAGUGGCGAACGGGUGAGUAACACGUGGGUGAUCUGCCCUGCACUUCGGGAUAAGCCUGGGAAACUGGGUCUAAUACCGGAUAGGAGCCAUUUUUAGUGUGAUGGUUGGAAAGUUUUUUCGGUGUAGGAUGAGCUCGCGGCCUAUCAGCUUGUUGGUGGGGAAAUGGCCUACCAAGGCGGCGACGGGUAGCCGGCCUGAGAGGGUGGACGGCCACAUUGGGACUGAGAUACGGCCCAGACUCCUACGGGAGGCAGCAGUGGGGAAUAUUGCACAAUGGGCGCAAGCCUGAUGCAGCGACGCCGCGUGGGGGAUGACGGCCUUCGGGUUGUAAACUCCUUUCGCUAGGGACGAAGCUUUUUGUGACGGUACCUAGAUAAGAAGCACCGGCUAACUACGUG
rnacentral:rRNA from 1 species